UGUUUGUCUUAAGUCUUUGUAAGUUUAAGUGUAGUUAGUAUAGUUCCUGUUUACACUUCAUUGUUAAUAUUAUCUUGUCCUGUUUUUACCCCAUCGUGGGUCUUUGUUUUGCCUGUUUUGUUAAGUUUUUAUUUGUUAAUAAACGUCCUUGUUACCCUUACCGUCUGUGUCUGCCUGCAAUUGGGUUCCCACGCCAUGUCUCACCUUGAGAUUCAUGACAUAAAGCAGCCAUCCCAUAGCCCCCCAGUAUAAAAAAGAGACAUGUCAUUGUUUAAUGCCCAUCCAUCCCCGAACAACCCCCACCAGCACAUUAGACAAACACAAAUUUAACCCUGUAGAAACAAGCACCACCUCAUUAACCUUUGGUUAGGGUUCUGUAAUGAGUGUAAAAAAACUAAAGGGUUGUGAUCAGUAAAAACCACCAGAGGUCCCUCAGAUGAUCCUACAUAUACAUCAAAAUGUUGCAAGGCCCAAAUCAGAGCAAGUGCUUCCUUCUCUAUUACUGAAUAGUUAAGCUGAAAAGAAUUAAACUUUUUAGAAAAGAAUCCAACUGGGUGGUUAAUGCCAUUUUCAGAAGUCUGCAACAGAACGGCACCAGCACCCACAUUGCUGGCAUCAACUUGCAAAUGAAAGACUCAAAACAGGACCCUCUGUAAGGAGCAUUUUUACCCUUUCAAACGCUUCUUGACAAUACGAAGUCCAACAAAAGACCACACCUCCUCAGUAGUUGUAUCAUAUACUGUGUGUCAAAUAGUUUGAUUGAUUUAUGACCCCCUGUCAAAUUAUCUGUCCACCAGUCACUCAAACUGAGACUUUUAUGGUAUGACAGCCCUGAUGACAGAUAUGUUUUAUGGUUGUUUUUGUGGGUAUCCUCUGACCCCAACCCUUCCUUUAGUGGGUCUAACUACCUCACCCCCCUUCACUACUUCCUUAUCAAAAAUGAUUGUUUUCAUCCUGUUUAGCUUUUACUGCAGGAUAUUAGUGAAUAACAAUUGUCAACUAGUGUGAUAAACUAAAUGUAGUAUAAGUGUUUUUCCUCUAAGAGUGUUGUUUCCUUUGCUUUGUGGUUUUUAUCAUGCAAAUGAGUGAGUUGGUGCUUGUUGUUUGAAAUCUUCUGAAUGUUUGUGUGUCUCCCCACUUUCCCCCCUAAGCAAGUCAUUUAAUCAGUAAAUCAAAGUAAGUGAGUUUUUUAUGAUCUGGCAGUCUUGUUUGAUAGUUUACAUAUUAUAGCUGUGUUAAUGUGUAUUUGUCCUCAUCCUGCUGGCCUGACAUCCUGAUGGUCAGGCAAUGUUUGAUCUCUCAUUAAACGAGUGAAAACCUGGCAGGGGGUGUGUUAGAGUGGCGUCCUAACGUUUAACGCAAUGUUUCAACUAAGAGUGAUCUGGGGACAUAGUUUUAAGUUUUAUAUGAUAAAUGAUUAAAAGCGAUUGGGUUCCGUUUAUCAUCAAUGAGACAUAAAUUACAUAUGCUUCAAGGAUAUGUCUCUGAUCUGUUUCUUCUAAUGUGUGUUAUAAAUAUUUUAUAGAAUAAGAAAUGACAACGAUAGCCAGGUACGUUUUAUCAUGCGUUUGGUGUCGUUCGGGAUGGCUGUGUAUUUUUCACAUAUUAAACAGGGUGGUGUUGUCUAACGAAAAAAAUUGUAACGUUUUAGAGUUAAUGCAAUGAUCCAUUUUUAAACAAAUGGUGUUCUGAGUCGCGUCAUGGGUUACCGACUGAGUGGUGAGACGUCAGUGUGUCUACGUGAACCAAGGUGUUUUAAAUCGUAUUCUUUGAAAUGUCCGUCACCUGUACAUCACUUUUUAAAAUAAAUACUUCCUUAUGUCUGAGAGGAUAUCGUGGAUCUACGAUGAUUUCAACAUGAUAAAGAGUUUUGGGGUUUGUUGGAGACGGUGUGAAUGGUCAUUCAUGUUUAUCACAGGUAGUCUAGUGUUAGUGCGAGUGCAUAUGUGUGUGUAUUGUUACAAUGACCGGGGGUGUGUUUUGCAUAUGUUAAUAGGGUCACCCCUUAACUUUUUAACACCAAGCCCGUAUGUCUUUAUAAGUUGAAAAUGUUUUGGUUUCUUUCGUUAUGGAAUCCUGUGUGUCAAGACAGUCGUCCAGAGUCGCGGUAAACAGACAUUCAUCUCUUUGUCAUUUUGAAAAACUACCCAAUCUUCUAAAAUGGCAAGAUUCAUUUACGGUACAUUGAACGACCCCCGAUAUUCCUGGCUUAUAGAAGAAAUUAACAAACUAAAUGGUCCAACUGGUUCGCCCCCUGUUGUAACAACACAACACAGCAAAAACCCCGGAUGUUUAAGAAGAGCCGUUGGUACGUAGGCCUGUAUGUGUGUUUGAGAUAGUAGUGAUUAUUGAAAAUCAUGUAAUACAAUGUUUUACUGCCU